AUAUUGGACAAUGGGGGAAACCCUGAUCCAGCCAUGCCGCCUGCGUUAAGAAGGUCUUNAGAGUGNANAGUAUUGUACGUUGGGCNGAAGUGUUGUUGGCUAAUAUCCAGUAAUUUCGACGUUACCGACAGACUAAGCAUCGGCUAACUCUGUGCCAGCAGCCGCGGUAAUGCAGAGGGUGCAAGCGUUAAUCGGAAUUACUGGGCUUAACGCGCGCGUAGGUGGUUCAGUAAGAUGGGUGUGAAAUCCCCGGGCUUAACCUGGGAACUGCUUUCAUAACUGCUGAGCUAGAGUACGGUAGAGGGUAGUGGAAUUUCCUGUGUAGCGGUGAAAUGCGUAGAUAUAGGAAGGAACACCAGUGGCGAAGGCGACUACCUGGACUGAUACUGACACUGAGGUGCGAAAGCGUGGGGAGCAAAC
rnacentral:rRNA from 1 species